GGCCCCGGGGGUCUUGGGGAAUACGGGAAGGGGUAAUGGGGGCACGGACGGCCCUCGCGCAGAAAGCUCAGUGUUCGCUGGGAGUGGCGGAAGGGGGCGGCGGCCAAUCAGCGCCCAGUUCUCACGUCUCCAGGUCCCAAGACUGGAUGAGACGGCGCCCGGGAUUGGUUUUGAUGUAGAUUCCCGAAGGGGAGGGGCGGCGAAAACACUCCGAUUGCCAAGGGGGCAACUAGCCAAAUUCAAGCGCGGAUUUACGCUGAAAUUCUCCCCAGCUUCUGGGAUCCUGCCGAACAGCGGGUGGGCAGUUUAUUCAACAGGUUAACAUAUUUGUGGUGAGUGGGAUUGGGGCACGGCCAAGCCGUGCUGGCGAGUGGUUGAGAAGCCUAAGGACUCCCCGGUUUGCCCAUCCCAGCUCCACCUCCCACCCGCCGUGCGACCUUGUGCAAAUUACUUCACGGCUCUGGGCUUGUUUUCCCUGAAAUGUGGGCUAAUAAUAGUUCAGGCCUCACUUGGUGGUUGUGAUGGGCUGGAUGAGUUAGGACUACAAGUGAAAUAGAACGGUGCCUCGUUGUUGUUAAGGGCCCAAUAAAUGUUAGCGGCAAUUAUUGGGAGUAGUAAUUGAAGAGGCCCCAUUCUCCCUUUAUAGGGGCCUCAAUUUUUGUUUAUAAAAUUGAGCGGAUGGCACUGGGCCCAGCCUCUGAAGUUCGAGGUACAUCACAAGUUAUGGAGUCAGACAGACUGCUGUUGUACUCCUGGCUCUUCCACUUCUUGCUCUUUGACAUGGGCAAGUCGGUUAAUCUCCUUAGUCCUUGCUUUCCUCUUCUCUCAAAUGGAGGUAAUUGUCUAGUUCAUAGGGCUCUUGUGUGGAUUCAUUUGUUCAGUAAACACUUGCCACAUAUCAGUUAUGGUGCUGAGGAUAUAAUGGUGACACCAGUUGUUAAACAGGAAGCAGAUGUGAAACAGCUGAAUACAUUAUUAACAGGUGUGAGAUGUGGGAAGGCAACAGCAGGGCUUGUGAUGGUGAAUCAGUUAGUGUUGGGCCUCAGCUCUGAGUAGGGCAUUAUUUUAGGCACAGGUAUACAAGAGGGAACAAGGUGACAAAAACUAGUGGCCUCAUGUUAUAGUGUGGGGAGACAGACGAGAAGACAGUUGAAGCGUGUACUGUAUAAGAUGGCAGUAAGUGCUUUGGAGAAAAAUGAAGCAGGGAUGUGGCGGACGGGGGAGUGUUACAAGUUUAGAGAGAAUGGCCAGGCAAGGCCUUCAAGGGAACAUUUGAGCAGAGAUGCGAAAUGAGGAACAGGUCCUCAUAGGUAUCUGGUGAAUAACAUUCCAGGUAAAGGAAGCCAGUGCAAAGGUUCUAUGGCAGCACUGUGCAACACAUGUUCUGCGAACUGCAGGAAGCCAGUAUGACCAACAGCUCACCAACAGAAUGAGCUGUUGGUGUUGGGAGAUGAAGAUGAAGGAGGCUGUGACUCAGAAGGAUCUUAUGAGCAGUGACUUAAACAAGGGGUUGCCAGAUCAUUGAGCACAGUUCAAGAAAGAGUUCUUGAGGUGUUUACAAUGCAACUUAACAAGUUUAUUUAAAUAACAUGGGGACCUGUGGACAGAAGAAGCUGUACUUUUGCUCUCUUAAAGCCAGUGGUUUUAUGCUUAGUGCUCAAGGGGCAGGGAUGUGCAGGGAAUAUUAGAUCAUAAAUGUUUUUUUCGAAUUUUUACUCAUAAAACUACUUUCACAAGGUUUCUCUGGUGCUUGUCAUUUCGCUUAGUAUUAACUAUCGGUGAGAUGUAUAGGUAGUCAUGAGACCCUUUAAGAACAUAGCAAACAGCUAAUUUCUGGUCCUUUUUGAAACUAUGCAGGUUGUAGGUCAGCCUUCUGGGCUAAAGGUGAACAUUUUCUGCUUCUUUCCCUCAUCACAGGAAUUGGCAUAUGGCCAGGGGUGGCCUUUGCCUUUUUAUUUUUUAAUAAAGUAUUAUUGAAAACACAGAUCCUUCAAUUUACAUAUUAUCCAUGGCUGCUUUUGUGAUACAACAGCAGGGUAGAGUUGAGUAGUUGCCACAGAGACAAAUAUUUGAGGCUUUUAUUUUAAAAGCUAAAGUAUUUACUGCCUAGUUCUUUACAGUAAGGAGAGUGUCCGCCUUAGACUUAAACACCUCUGUAUUAAACCCCACCCUUUCUUCCUCAACCUGCCCCCACCUGCUGCCCCCAGAGUAGCCCAUUACCAGGUCCA